rnacentral:rRNA from 1 species
AGAACGAACGCUGGCGGCAGGCCUAACACAUGCAAGUCGAACGCCUUAGCAAUAAGGAGUGGCAGACGGGUGAGUAACACGUGGGAACGUACCCUUCGGUUCGGAAUAACUCAGGGAAACUUGUGCUAAUACCGGAUACGAUCGCGAGAUGAAAGAUUUAUCGCCGAAGGAUCGGCCCGCGUCUGAUUAGCUAGUUGGUGAGGUAAUGGCUCACCAAGGCGACGAUCAGUAGCUGGUCUGAGAGGAUAACCAGCCACAUUGGGACUGAGACACGGCCCAAACUCCUACGGGAGGCAGCAGUGGGGAAUAUUGGACAAUGGGCGCAAGCCUGAUCCAGCCAUGCCGCGUGAGUGAUGAAGGCCUUAGGGUUGUAAAGUCUACUUUUACUCGGGAAGAUAGUGACGGUACCGAGAGAAUAAGCCCCGGCUAACUUCGUGCCAGCAGCCGC